UCUCCAUUUCACGUACUCUCUCACCGGUCAGAGUGACGAGAGAGGACGCGGAAUGAAGAGA
rnacentral:pre_miRNA from 1 species